rnacentral:rRNA from 1 species
UAAUACAGAGGUGGCAAGCGUUGUUCGGAUUUACUGGGCGUAAAGGGUGCGUAGGUGGCAUCGUAUGUCGGGUGUGAAAUCCCACGGCUCAACCGUGGAACUGCAUUCGAAACUGCGGAGCUAGAGUACAGGAGGGGAGAGCGGAAUUCUUGGUGUAGCGGUGAAAUGCGUUGAUAUCAAGAAGAACACCGGUGGCGAAGGCGGCUCUCUGGAAUGUUACUGACACUGAUGCACGAAAGCUGGGGGAGCGAACAGGAUUAGAUACCCUGGUAGUCCCAGCCGUAAACGGUGUGAACUUGGUGUGGGGAGAAUUGACCCUCCCCGUGUCGGAGCUAACGCGUUAAGUUCACCGCCUGGGGAGUACGGCCGCAAGGCUA